rnacentral:rRNA from 1 species
GUGGCGGACGGGUGAGUAAUGCAUAGGAAUCUACCCAGUAGCGGGGGACAACGUGUGGAAACGCACGCUAAUACCGCAUACGCCUUACGGGGGAAAGCGGGGGACCUUCGGGCCUCGCACUAUUGGAUGAGCCUGCGUUAGAUUAGCUUGUUGGUGGGGUAAAGGCCUACCAAGGCGACGAUCUAUAGCUGUUCUGAGAGGAAGAUCAGCCACACUGGGACUGAGACACGGCCCAGACUCC